rnacentral:rRNA from 1 species
CGGGGCUACUGCUCUGUAAUUGGCAUGGGGGCGACCUUCACCCUCGCCCGAGUACCCAUUGGAGGGCAAGUCUGGUGCCAGCAGCCGCGGUAAUUCCAGCUCCAAUAGCGUAUAUUAAACUUGUUGCAGUUAAAAAGCUCGUAGUUGAAUCUCACGUCCUGCCCUAGUGUUCUUCACUACGCGGACGCCUCGUUACUUUGAGAAAAUUAGAGUGUUUCAAGCAGGUUUCGCCUGUAUAAUUGAGCAUGGAAUAACCUUGUAUGACCCUGUCGUACCGUUGGUUGGCUUUGGGUAAUGGUUAAUAGGAACGGUUGGGGGCAUUCGUACUCGACUGUCAGAGGUGAAAUUCUUAGAUUUGUCGAUGACGCACGACUGCGAAAGCAUUUGCCAAGGACGCUUCCAUUAAUCAAGAAC